AAUAUCGUUACAUUGUGAAUUGUCGAUACAAAUCAUGAAUUGAAAUUUGGGGAGUGUGCACAGUGGACUGCUCACGGUUUGGGGCUGGUUUCGGCCAACUGGGAGAAAAUUAUUGGGUUGUUGAAAUAUUAUGUGAAUUGUUUAGAAUGCUCUUGAAUAUUGUUGGUAAGGAUUCGGGUUAAUAAUUGAAUGUAUGAGCGAUAUUGUGGCUUGAAUGUAAGCCGUUGAAUUGAAUAUUAAUGUUGUUGAAUGUUGUGAAAGAAAGUUAUUAAUGUAAUAUUGCCCCUCCGGAUUGGUUAUUGGAGUUGUUAGGUUGGUUGGUUGUUGUUGUUGUUGUUGUUGUUGAUUUUGAGCGAGUUAAAUUCUCGGGUUGGCCUAUUUACAGGGGAAAUGCUGCCGAAUUUUCUGUAGAAUUUAGAGUUAGUUUGGAAUAAAUAAUUGCUUAAGUGCCUAUGGUUAAUAUCGGAUAUUCGUUGGCAUAUUUGUAGACCUUGGGGAGCCCGAGGCGUAGAUUGGGAUUAGCUUAGAUUGGCUAGCUUGGAGUGCGUACGAGUCCUUUCGCCGAGUCCCGGGCCGGUUCUGUUAUCGUGCGCAUUUUGAUAUACUCCGGAGUUAUGCUGUGUUUAUGGUUCCCGAGCUACUCGCAAAAGAGGGUCGGGUUUCACCUAUAUAUAUGGCGUUAUGUUGUGAUGUGAUAUGUGACGGGGAUACGGGGAUUUGAGAUUUUCUGGUGUUAUGCUGUGUUAUGGCGCCAUCGACGGGUACAGACGCACAGUUUGGUGAUCCACCGGUUUAGGACACCCCCUUUUUGCUGUUGGAGUGCUCUUCUCCUUUCAGAGCAUAUCUUUUGGUAUAUAUUUUUGUUCGCUAUGUAUGUAUAUAUUCGUUCAGGGGUACGGCGGGGCCCUGUCCCGCCAUAUGAUUCGUUUGGUCUGUUUAGAGGUCUGUAGACGUAUUUGUGGGUGUGUGUGCCUACUUUUGUACAGUUGUGUUUAUAUGAUUCUACUCGUUAUGGCAGCCUCGUCGGCGUGCAUUUUCUAUAUGUUUAUGGCAGCCUUGUCGGCGUGCAUUUGUAUAUGUGUUUUUGGCUGUUGUGCCAUUUGAUAGCCUUGACGGCUUUUGAUUCAUUUGACAGCC